AUGUUUUCCUCGCAGUCCAUGAGCCGUGUGAACAACAUCAGGACGGCGCUCAUCAACGUGCAGAAGGGCAAGCAGACGGUUGUCGCCUACUUCGCCUCUCUCCGUGGCCUCACCGACGAGCUUGCCGCUGCGGGGAAGGCCAUCCAAGACGACGAGUUCAUCUCCUACAUCAUCCACAGCCUCGACGUCGACUACCAGCCCCUCGUCUCUGCCCUCGACGCACGCGUCACGCCGGUCUCCCUCGACGAGCUCUACGCCAUGCUCAGCAACUUCGACCAGCGCAUGGCCCAGUUCAAUCACUCGGGCGGCGGUGGCUUCCGCUCCUCUGCCAACGCCGCGGUGCGUGGCCGUGGUGGUGGAUCACGUGGACGUGGCUCCUCUCGCGCCAAGGGGCGAUCUGGAGGACACGGUGGUGGCGGCAACAGCGGCGGUCGUCGUGGCGGCGGUCCAACUCGGGCCCGACCAGAGAUGCCUCGCUGCCAAAUUUGUGGUAAGCCAGGAACACCGCGAAGGAUUGCUGGUACCAUUAUGAUGAAGAUGGCGAUGACUCCCAAGAUGAAGAAAAGGUGGCUGCCGCAGCUGAUGGAUCCUACGGCAUCGACACAAAUUGGUACGUUGAUAGCAGCGCCACCAAUCAGAUCACCAAUGAGCUUGAGAAGGUCACGAUGA
rnacentral:rRNA from 1 species